rnacentral:rRNA from 1 species
AUUGAACGCUGGCGGCAUGCCUUACACGUGCAAGUCGGACGGCAGCACGGGAGCAAUCCUGGUGGCGAGUGGCGAACGGGUGAGUAAUGCAUCGGAACGUGCCCAGUCGUGGGGGAUAACGUAGCGAAAGCUACGCUAAUACCGCAUACGAUCUAUGGAUGAAAGCAGGGGAUCGCAAGACCUCGCGCGGUUGGAGCGGCCGAUAUCAGAUUAGGUAGUUGGUGGGGUAAAGGCCCACCAAGCCUGCGAUCUGUAGCUGGUCUGAGAGGACGACCAGCCACACUGGAACUGAGACACGGUCCAGACUCCUACGGGAGGCAGCAGUGGGGAAUUUUGGACAAUGGGCGCAAGCCUGAUCCAGCAAUGCCGCGUGCAGGAUGAAGGCCUUCGGGUUGUAAACUGCUUUUGUACGGAACGAAACGGCUUUUUCUAAUACAGAGAGCUAAUGACGGUACCGUAAGAAUAAGCACCGGCUAACUACGUGCCAGCCGCCGCGGUAA